GCCUUGGUGGUCCAACGGUGAGGACUUCAGCCUGCCAGACUGAGGAUACGGGUCCGACUCCCGUCCAAGGCUCGA
rnacentral:tRNA from 1 species